rnacentral:rRNA from 1 species
CCUACGGGUGGCAGCAGUGAGGAAUAUUGGUCAAUGGGCGGGAGCCUGAACCAGCCAUGCCGCGUGAAGGCGAGUGCCCUACGGGCGUUAAACUUCUUUUGUGCGGGAGCAAUAAGGGCCACGCGUGGCCCGAUGAGAGUACCGCACGAAUAAGCAUCGGCUAACUCCGUGCCAGCAGCCGCGGUAAUACGGGGGAUGCGAGCGUUAUCCGGAUUUAUUGGGUUUAAAGGGAGCGUAGAUGGGUUGUUAAGUCAGUUGUGAAAGUUUGCGGCUCAACCGUAAAAUUGCAAUUGAUACUGGCGGCCUUGAGUACAGUUGAGGUAGGCGGAAUUCGUGGUGUAGCGGUGAAAUGCUUAGAUAUCACGAAGAACUCCGAUUGCGAAGGCAGCUUACUAAACUGCCACUGACAUUGAUGCUCGAAAGUGUGGGUAUCAAACAGGAUUAGAUACCCGUGUAGUC